rnacentral:rRNA from 1 species
AAACUGAAGAGUUUGAUCAUGGCUCAGAUUGAACGCUGGCGGCAGGCCUAACACAUGCAAGUCGAGCGAGAAAAACCUUCGGGUUGAGUAGAGCGGCGGACGGGUGAGUAACGCGUAGGAAUCUACCUGGUAGUGGGGGACAACUUGGGGAAACUCAAGCUAAUACCGCAUACGCCCCAUGGGGGAAAGCGGGGGACCUUCGGGCCUCGCGCUAUCAGAUGAGCCCGCGGCCGAUUAGCUUGUUGGGGAGGUAAUGGCUCACCAAGGCGACGAUCGGUAGCUGGUCUGAGAGGAUGAUCAGCCACACUGGGACUGAGACACGGCCCAGA